GACGUAGGUGGCAAGCGUUGUCCGGAAUGAUUGGGCGUAAAGCGCGCGCAGGCGGUGCGGCAAGUCCAUGGUGAAAGGGCGUGGCUUAACCACGCGAGGGCCGUGGGGACUGUCGUGCUGGAGGGGAGCAGAGGCGUGUGGAAUGCCGGGUGGAGCGGUGAAAUGCGUAGAGAUCCGGCAGAACACCAGAGGCGAAGGCGGCACGCUGGGCUCAGUCCUGACGCUGAGGCGCGAAAGCGUGGGGAGCAAACAGG
rnacentral:rRNA from 1 species